rnacentral:rRNA from 1 species
UGGGGAAUAUUGCACAAUGGGGGAAACCCUGAUGCAGCAACGCCGCGUGAAGGAUGAAGGUUUUCGGAUUGUAAACUUCUAUCGACAGGGACGAAAAAAAUGACGGUACCUGAAUAAGAAGCCCCGGCUAACUACGUGCCAGCAGCCGCGGUAAUACGUAGGGGGCAAGCGUUAUCCGGAUUUACUGGGUGUAAAGGGUGAGUAGGCGGUUUGUAAAGUCACGUGUGAAAGCCCGCAGCUUAACUGCGGGACUGCACGAGAAACUUAUGAACUAGAGUACAGGAGAGGUAAGCGGAAUUCCUAGUGUAGCGGUGAAAUGCGUAGAUAUUAGGAAGAACACCAGUGGCGAAGGCGGCUUACUGGACUGAAACUGACGCUGAGUCACGAAAGCGUGGGGAGCGAACA